GACGAACGCUGGCGGCGUGCUUAACACAUGCAAGUCGAACGGAAAGGCCCUGCUUUUGUGGGGUGCUCGAGUGGCGAACGGGUGAGUAACACGUGAGUAACCUGCCCUUGACUUUGGGAUAACUUCAGGAAACUGGGGCUAAUACCGGAUAGGAGCUCCUGCUGCAUGGUGGGGGUUGGAAAGUUUCGGCGGUUGGGGAUUGACUCGCGGCUUAUCAGCUUGUUGGUGGGGUAGUGGCUUACCAAGGCUUUGACGGGUAGCCGGCCUGAGAGGGUGACCGGCUACAUUGGGACUGAGAUACGGCCCAGACUCCUACGGGAGGCAGCAGUGGGGAAUAUUGCACAAUGGGCGGAAGCCUGAUGCAGCAACGCCGCGUGCGGGAUGACGGCCUUCGGGUUGUAAACCGCUUUCGCCUGUGACGAAGCGUGAGUGACGGUAAUGGGUAAAGAAGCACCGGCUAAGUACGUG
rnacentral:rRNA from 1 species